CACCAUGGCACAGUGACCACUGCGGGGACACCAGGACACCACCAUGGAGCAGCCACUGACCACAGUGACCACCAUGGGGACGUGGCCAUGGAACGGGGACUGCCACGGCACAGUGACCACUGUGGGGACACCGUGGGGACACUGCCAUGGCCGAGUGACCUGGGGGACCCUGUGGUGACCAACUGACCCCUGGGGGCUGCAGCAUCACGUCACUGUGGUGACCAGUCCUGGGGACACUGGAGUGACCCUGUAGUGACCACUCCUGGGGACACUGGAGUGACCCUGCAGUGACCAGUCCUGGGGACACUGGAGAUGGACCCUGCAGUGACCAGUCCUGGGGACACGGGAGUGACCAAUCCUGGGGACCCUGGAGUGACCCUGUAGUGACCAGUCCUGGGGACACUGUGGCUGUGACCCUGCAGUGACCAGUCCUGGGGACACUGUGGCUGUGACCCUGCAGUGACCAGUCCUGGGGACACUGGAGAUGGACCCUGCAGUGACCAGUCCUGGGGACACUGGAGUGACCAAUCCUGAGGACCCUGCAGUGACCAAUCCUGGGGACAUUGGGGACCCUGUGGCUGUGACCCUGGGGUUUUGGGGUGUCACCAUGGCAAUAAACCGGGGUGUGUCACUGCA